rnacentral:rRNA from 1 species
GAGUAGUACUAGAUAUGUUCUUCAAACUUAAAAAAUUUGGCGGUAUUUCAUCUUAUCAGAGGAACCUGUUUAUUAAUUGAUAACCCACAACUUUAGCUACUUUUAUUAAAAUACUUGUAUACCGCUGUCAUGAGUAUAUUUAUAAAUUUAUUUUCGUUAAUUUUUAUGGAAUUUAUGUUAGGUCAAGGUGCAGUUUUUAAAGUUAAAAAUGGGUUACUAUAUAAAUUAUGAAUGAAUUUUGAUUUUUAGUGUCAAAGAAAUAGAAUUUGAAAGUAACUUUGUUAAAGUAACAUAAUGAAUAAAGAUUCUGAAAUAUG